UACGGAGGGGGCUAGCGUUGUUCGGAAUUACUGGGCGUAAAGCGCACGUAGGCGGCUUUGUAAGUUAGAGGUGAAAGCCCAGGGCUUAACCCUGGAAUUGCCUUUAAGACUGCAUCGCUAGAAUCGUGGAGAGGUGAGUGGAAUUCCGAGUGUAGAGGUGAAAUUCGUAGAUAUUCGGAAGAACACCAGUGGCGAAGGCGACUGACUGGACAUGUAUUGACGCUGAGGUGCGAAAGCGUGGGGAGCAAACAGG
rnacentral:rRNA from 1 species